rnacentral:misc_RNA from 1 species
UGUUCCGCUAGGCAGCUACACCACGUGAAGUCGGGAAACUUGCUGUUAGAGUUUCACGUGUCUUGAACGUUAAAAGGUGUUUUGGUACUGUUAAGAGAUAAAAUAACUUUCCGUUAAAAUGGUAAGUAACAAAAAGUCAAGGGGACGGCAGAAGUUUCAGUACCAUGUCGACAAAAAAAAGGUUGCAAAGAAAGCCAGGAAGCUCCCAAACAUCACUUGUUCGGCUAUAAAAGACAAUUGGAGGACUAAUCUUUCAGCCAGCCAAAAUUUAAAAGUUAUGGGGCUGGUAUAUGAUUCAAACAAAUCACUUCCCGUCAGCUCUAACACACCUAGGAAUCCUGAAAAUCCAGAACCAACUGCUGUGGUUACUGAACUUGAAAAACAAUCCAAUGCUCCAAGAACAGGAACUAUGAGAAUGCCAAAAGAAAAGGUUAAAUGGAUUGAGUAUCUUCUUGAAAAGCACGGGGAAGAUUAUGAGGCAAUGGCCAGGGACAAAAAUAACCACUAUCAAGAGACUGCAGCCCAGAUAAGACAAAAAAUCAAACAGUUCAAGAAAAGACCUGCAUAUUUGGUAAAAUUCAUGAGAGCUUGUGGGAAGCUCCCAACUUCAACAGAGACUGUGACAGAAUGAGCAAACAUGGUUUCCCCGUGUCGUCAUGGUUUGAGAGUCGGAUAGCGUUUCCUGAGCAAUUGCUUAAGGUCUGACAAUUGAACUCGUGUCAAAUGGCUGCAGCACUGGACUACCGGAAA